rnacentral:lncRNA from 1 species
AAUAUGUAUAAUGCUCAUUGCUUCUUAAACUAAAAUUUCACUAUUUUUAUGUUCCUUUUUGGUGUAAAUUAGACAAAGCUGCUGUCACUUGUAGUCAGAUGUUACUUGAAACAACAAUAAGAGAUAAAUCCGUAACAUUUGAUUGCUGAAUAAAUGGAUCCAGAUGAUAGUAGCAGUUCCUACCACGGAAGAAAUGUGGCAUGUGUGAUGAAAUGAAGCCUUGUGUGUGUAUUAAAGUGAAGUGAAGUGAAGUCACUCAGUCGUGUCUGACUCUUUGCAGCCCCAUGGACUGUAGCCUACCA